UACCUGAUGUUUUAGUGCAGGCUGCUAUUAUCAUCACUCUGUCAUAACUGAUGUUUACUCAUGAUGACAACCAUAUUCACAAAGGCACUUUAGGUUCACUGACAGAAAACCAAGAUGUUUUAUGGGCACUAGUAGAAAAGUUAUUUUCCGAAGUUUCAGCUUGAAAAUUAUUACCCUUGAAAGAAAAUUAUAGGCAGAGUACAUUCUGUUGAUUUUUCCGAUUCACCUUCUGCUUUUGAAUCUGAAGAAGGUACCGCAGAAGAAACUAAGUCACAAGAACAACCAUCGAAGUGGAAGAGGGCCUAGGUGGAUGCAUCGUACCACAACAUGGAUCUUAUUGGCAACCACCAUCUUCUGUUGAGAGGCUACUGGAGAAUGGUAGCCAUCAAGCCAGUGCUGCUCCACGGCAUAGCCAGCAAGCUCAGCCAUCCUGGCUGCCUGGUGUGCCUGCAGCAGACAUUGAUAUCUUAUGUGUUGGACCUUCAUAUGUGAAGCGCGAGGAUGAUUACUUUGUGACGCUACAUGACAUAUUGGCCCAAAUGGAAGAAGCGACUGAACUGCAAC